rnacentral:tRNA from 1 species
AUAGUGCAUAGUUUAAUAAAAAACAUUGUGUUUUGAUCACAAAAAUAUUUUCGAAGAAUUCACUAUA